ACCUUCGAGAUCGCGUUUAUCGCUUUUUUAGCAGCGUUCGCCAGCUCCAAGUAAUCGGAUGGCUUCGAGUACGUGUAUCCCCACGGGACCAGCCACAUUUGCGAGUAGGAGUGCAGUGUCAGCCAGGAUAUAAUCAGCCAUUGCCUGUGUUUCCGGCUCGGAGAACGCUCGAGGGCCAGCAUAGGUCUCGUGACAAGGGUCUGAACUGGCCCCGCCCUCGUCCAUCUCGCCCCAAUGGUAGCCAAAGUUCCUAUUGGGAUCGACGCCCUCGCAUUUUCCCCAGAACCACUUUGCAUAGUGAUUCACCAACUGCAGAAGACUAUAAGAGGAGUAUCAGUAAAAAGCCACGCACCAUCAUUUUCGCUCGACAUUUUGUCCGACCAUUGUCAUAUGUUUCAAAAAUAAGGACAUCGUACCGACUGUCCUCUUGCUCCUCCUCGUGAUUGCUCCUCGUUUUUCUCCACAACCUGUCCCCGGUGUGAGUGAACUCGUAGCCAUCCGGAUUCGCGACAGGUAAUAUCAUCCAGUCCGAAUUAUCCAGCAAUUUCGUGUAGCUGACGUUCUUUUCGACCAACUGGCUCACGAUGUAGGUCGCCACGGCGGUGCCGAUCCAUUCUCUCGCGUGCAUACCUGCCGAAUGUGUUGACAAUUCGAGAGAAAAAAAAAACGUAACGGUAUAAGAUCGAGGCGAUGACUCGUCUCGAGCUGACAUUUCGUAAUGGACAAUGAUCCUAUUCGAAGAAGUCGAUGCGAUUCUCUUAGCUACAAGCUUCUCUUGUUGAUCUCGUUUCGGCAGGCCAUUGAGGUCUGUUUUGCUUCAUAGAGCGGAAUAAGACGAUCGCGAGGGAAAGCAAAAAUGAUCAGAGAGGGAAAAUGAAGAUUUGCUUGCCGAGGGUUUUAACUCUAAAUUCCUAUUUUUACUUCAAAUUCAUCUUUUUGCAAACCAUAUUAAUCUCUCUAGGAAUUGUAUUCAUCUUUUUGGAAAUUAUAGUCACCCUUUUGCACUCUUUUACAGGUCAAAUUAACCUUUUCGCGAAUCAAGGGCUUCUGCUUGGUUUUCGCAAACAAUUUUAACAAAUAUAACAUUCAACGUUGUUUCAUUAUUUUUAUAUUUUAAUGUGUCUGUGUGAGAAUUAACUUAAAGUGCUGAUUGAAUAGUGAACUUUAUCUGUGCGAGUAUUAGCUGCAAUAGUAUGAUUAAUAAAAUGCAUGAAAGAA